CCUACGGGGGGCUGCAGUGAGGAAUAUUGGUCAAUGGACGAGAGUCUGAACCAGCCAAGUAGCGUGAAGGAUGACUGCCCUAUGGGUUGUAAACUUCUUUUAUAUGGGAAUAAAAUGUUCCACGUGUGGGAUUUUGUAUGUACCAUAUGAAUAAGGAUCGGCUAACUCCGUGCCAGCAGCCGCGGUAAUACGGAGGAUCCGAGCGUUAUCCGGAUUUAGUGGGUUUAAAGGGAGCGUAGGUGGAUUGUUAAGUCAGUUGUGAAAGUUUGCGGCUCAACCGUAAAAUUGCAGUUGAAACUGGCAGUCUUGAGUACAGUAGAGGUGGGCGGAAUUCGUGGUGUAGCGGUGAAAUGCUUAGAUAUCACGAAGAACGCCGAUGGCGAAGGCAGCUUACUGGACUGCAACUGACGCUGAGGCUCGAAAGUGUGGGUAUCAAACAGGAUUAGAUACCCGUGUAGUC
rnacentral:rRNA from 1 species